GGAGCAAACAGGAUUAGAUACCCUGGUAGUCCACGCUGUAAACGAUGUCAACUAGCUGUUGGUUAUAUGAAAAUAAUUAGUGGCGCAGCAAACGCGAUAAGUUGACCGCCUGGGGAGUACGGUCGCAAGAU
rnacentral:rRNA from 1 species